AUGACGUCAAGUCAUCAUGGCCCUUACGGCCUGGGCGUACACACGUGCUACAAUGGUCGGUACAAAGGGUUGCCAAGCCGCGAGGUGGAGCUAAUCCCAUAAAACCGAAUCGUAGUCCGGAUCGCAGUCUGCAACUCGACUGCGUGAAGUCGGAAUCGCUAGUAAUCGUGAAUCAGAAUGUCACGGUGAAUACGUUCCCGGGCCUU
rnacentral:rRNA from 1 species